AUUGAACGCUGGCGGCAGGCCUAACACAUGCAAGUCGAGCGAGCGGCGGACGGGUGAGUAAUAUCUGUGAAACUGCCUGAUGUAGGGGGAUAACUACUGGAAACGGUAUCUAAUACCGCAUACCAUCAGAUGUGCCCAGAUGUGAUUAUCUAGUAGUUGGGGUAACGGUUCACCUAGGCGACGAUCCCUAGCUGGUCUGUGAGGAUGACCAGCCACACUGGAACGGAGAAACGGUCCAGACUCCUACGGGAGGCAGCAGUGGGGAAUAUUGCACAAUGGGGGCAAGCCUGAUGCAGCCAUGCCGCGUGUAUGAAGAAGGCCUUCGGGUUGUAAAGCACUUUCAGCGGGGAGGCGUUACCCGCAGAAGAAGCACCGGCUAACUCCGUGCCAGCAGCCGCGGUAAUAC
rnacentral:rRNA from 1 species